rnacentral:rRNA from 1 species
ACGGAAGGCAGCAGUGGGGAAUAUUGCACAAUGGGCGAAAGCCUGAUGCAGCAACGCCGCGUGAAGGAUGAAGGUCUUCGGAUUGUAAACUUCUAUCAGUAGGGAAGAAAAUGAACCAUAGGUUCAUGUGACGGUACCUAACUAAGAAGCUCCGGCUAACUACGUGCCAGCAGCCGCGGUAAUACGUAGGGAGCAAGCGUUAUCCGGAUUUACUGGGUGUAAAGGGUGCGUAGGCGGCCGCCUAAGUCUAAAGUGAAAUUUCGGGGCUCAACUCCGGAGCUGCUUUGGAAACUGGGUGGCUAGAGUGUGGGAGAGGAAAGUGGAACUUUGAGUGUAGCGGUGAAAUGCGUAGAGAUUCAAAGGAACACCAGUAGCGAAGGCGGCUUUCUGGACCAUAACUGACGCUGAGGCACGAAAGCGUGGGGAGCAAACAGGAUUAGAUACCCUGGUA